CAAGAUCCAGUUUCCUUCUGUAGAGUCAUCAGUGACAGCAGCAGCAAAUGCCUUUAGAAUUUUCCUGCAUGUCUUUGCUGAAUGCCCUGGUGUAUCACAAAUCUGACAAACAAUAGAAGAAUUAGAAUUAGAAUUCUUAGAUCUUCUCCAACGAUUUUUAGAAUCAUUCUUCUUAUUAUUAUUAGGAAGAGAAUUUCCCUUUUGAUUCCUGUAAUUGUUGGAGUCAUUCCUGUAAUUGUUUCUAGAAUCAUGUCCAGAUCUGAAUCUUGCAGCAAAUGCAUUAACCGGAGGAUCAUCGGACUUGUGGUUGUUUAGAAGAUGACGCUUGAGGAAUGCUUCCUCUCUGAUUACUAGAUGUAUAAACUGUUCAAACAGAAGAUUCGGCUGUGAAUGUAUUGAAGACAUAAAAGGGCGAUACUCAGAUCCAAGCCCAUCACAGACAAAAUCAAUUUUAUCCCUAUCGGCAAGAUUAUCUCCAGCAGCAGCCAAACUGUCGAUUAGGGCUCGAACUUUAAUAACAAAAUCAGUCAUGCUCACGGAGUUGGAUUUCUUCAAGGCUCGGAGCUCAUCCCUCACACUUUGCGAAUGACAAAUUUUUCUCGGUGAUAAAUGAAGAUCAAGAUUUUCCCAACAAGCUCGGGCAGAGUCGUGAUUAAUAACCAAAGAGAACAUCGACGGUCCAACAGCAGCUUGAAUCCAACCAAGAACAAUAAAGUUCUUCUUCCUCCAAACACGAUAGAGAGGAUUUUCUGUUCCAUCCGCUUCUAAUUUCGCCGGAGGAGUUGUUCUGGGAUCAACAAUGUCAGAAAUGUCAUGAAUCUUGAAUAAAUUCUCCAUUUGAGCCUUCCAAAAUAAAGAUGUCGCUCCACUCUCAAGAGGUACCCUAAUCCAAUGUGCAACAUUGCACCUGUGAAGAUCAUCAAAUUGAUUUGAUGAAGAGGAGCUCAUUUUUUGAAAAAAAAACACAAACAAUCACCGGAAACGAGUGCCGCAACAAUCACCCACUCAACAGUAAAUGAAUUGGGGAAAAAUAUCACCGUUAUCAACAAUCACUCUCGAGAAUCGACGGAAUCAACGACGAAAUCAAGAAUAGCAGAAUAACAGCGACGAAAUUCAGAAAACAAACAGCGACGAAAAAAUAACAACAGAGAUUACCGAACAGACGAUGAAAAUCAAGUCUGGAAUCUAUCUGGACAAGUUCGCCUAGUCUGAUAACUCUGGAAUCACCGAAAUCUGAUAGAAGAUCCACUGAAAUCAACAGAGUACGACGAUCACCGGAAUAUCACACAAUCACCGGAACUCAGGCGACGAUCACCGGAGCUGAAAUCUGAAAUC
rnacentral:lncRNA from 1 species